AUUGAACGCUGGCGGCAGGCCUAACACAUGCAAGUCGAGCGAGCGGCGGACGGGUGAGUAAUGUCUGGGAACCUGCCGGAUGGAGGGGGAUAACUACUGGAAACGGUAGCUAAUCCCGCAUACCAUCAGCUGUCCCCAGAUGGGAUUAGCUAGUCGGUGGGGUAACGGCUCACCUAGGCGACGAUCCCUAGCUGGUCUGAGAGGAUGACCAGCCACACUGGAACUGAGACACGGUGCAGACGCCUACGGGAGGCAGCAGUGGGGAAUAUUGAACAAUGGGCGAAAGUCUGAUGCAGCCAUGCCGCGUGGGUGAAGAAGGCCUUCGGGUUGUAAAGCACUUUCGGCGGGGAGGCGUGACCCGCAGAAGAAGCACCGGCUAACUCCGUGCCAGCAGCCGCGGUAAUAC
rnacentral:rRNA from 1 species